GGUUGCUUGGUGUAGUGGUCGUACACCUGGUAAAUCCUCCUGCCGCCGACGCUGCAGGAGUUCGUUGGUUCAAAUCCAGCAGCAAUCA